GGGUGCUAUUCUAGUUCCAUCAAAUUAUGGCGUUCAACAAGCUUCUCUACGGAAUGGGUGUAUACAGGUUUUUGGGGGGUCGUCCCAGGGUCCCCUCGUUCCCCCCAGGACCUAGAGCAACACUGUUGUUCCGCUCUGCUUGCUGUACUGGACUAGACUGGUGACGCAAGAUGUCUACCAGAGCCCUGAGGGAGACAUGAAAAAGAGGGAAAAGAAACAUAACAUCACAACGUAACUCUGUGCAGGUGAGAACAAGCUGACUGUGAAGGGCAGCCACAUAUAGCAGCACCCAGGGAGCUAUGGGUUAAGGGCCUUGCUGAAGGAGCCUCAGAUAUACAGUAUAUGUAUGUAUAUGCAUAUAUAGCAUAUAUGUAUGUAUGUAUGUAUGUGUGCUUGUGUGUGUGUUUAUCUAUGCAGACAGUGGCCUGCAAAAGUAUUCAACCCCCUUGAAAGUCAUGACAAUUGUAUGAAAUAUAUAUACACAGUUUUCUCAAACCAUAUUUAUUUUGGAAAUUCUUUUGCUCCAGUAUAUUUUUAAAUGGCAGAAUAGGUCAGUGCUUUGGAAGCUCCAGGUUUACAUAAAUGACAAAUUAAUCACAAAUGACACAAAGGUGACAGUUAAUAGACCAUAAUUAAACAUAAUUAGGUACUACUUAGUCCUGAUGUUUCUCUCUGGAUAUAAAAGUAGCCUUUGGAAGGGCCAUUGUUUUUGUUGGACGAUCACUGCAAAAAUUAAGACAAAGGAACAUUCUGCUGAUAUCAGAUAAACAAUAUCAUUGAAAUGCACAAGGCAGGAAAUGACUACAAAAAUAUUGAGGAGUUUGGAUGCCCCAUUAAGCACUGUUGAAUCCAUCAUCUGCAAGUGGAAGGUUCAUCACAGCACUCAGUUACUAGAACGGGCCAUCCCUCAAAACCAAGCAUAAGACCAAGAUGUCGACUGGUGAGAGAGGCUACUAAAAAUCCAACUUUCACUCUCAGAAGGCUGCAGUGCUCAUUGGCUGAAACUGGAGUGCUCCAUGAAACAGGCCACAAUGGGAGGGUAGCCAGAAGCCAUUCUUUAAGAAUAUCCACAUAAACGCACAUAUGGCAUUUACUACAAAGCAUGAGAAAGACCCAGUUUUUGGCCAACUUCAAAGAUGUGUGGUGUAAAACUAACACGGCCCAUGCCUCAAGAAACACCAUACCUACAGUGAAAUAUGGUGGCAGUAUCAUGCUAUGGGGAUACUGUGCUGGGACUGGGAAUCUUGUCAGAGUUGAAGGGACAAUGGUUGGACACAAAUACCAGACAAUAUUGCAAGAGAACUUGUUGCAGUCCAGAAGAUUCUUUUUUCAACUUGAAAAUGACCCUAAGCAUAAGGCCAAAGUGACACUGGGAUGGCUCAAAAACAAAAAGGUGAAUGUUCUAAAAUUAUGAUGACCUUCGAGGGGGUUUGCAAACUACUGUAUAUUGUUUAUCGUUAUUUGCGUCAUGUACUGGUAAACAGUUAUGUUGUUCUGUGUUGUAACGUUAACAUUACAGGCUUGUGUCAAUUGUUGUUAUUACAACAAAUCUGAUCGCACAUAAAUGAAUGUGUUGUAAAGGUAAACUGCUGAUUGAUUUAUUUUAUCCUAGUAUGUGCUGCUUUCAUUUUGCUGAAGAGACUGUCUUGUUUCUUUUUGCAUUCCUCUCUUGAUGCCUGUGAUGAUGUCAGACUCUUUAAAUUGCUCUGUCCCAAGUUCAUUAUUGGUGCCCAGUCAGUGUUGCCUCUGUCAUACAUAGUGGAUGGUUUGCCUAACGUGAAAGGAUAAGAAUGGCCUUUAGGACAUGCUGUUUUUGUUUUGUUUUGUUUUAAAACCAAAGUUGUUUAUGUCAGCUUACUUGUUCUAAUUUAAAUGGCAAAUUGCUUGUAUUCACAUUUGGUUACAUCAGGCACCACAACCAUAAACAGAAUGGGGAUCAUGAAAUGCAGUAGCGUUAGCAUGCUAACAAAUGUAAGCCAAUGUUUAUCAACUAAUGAAUCCCAGUACUGUUAUCUAUGGAAAUGAACACAGUAAUAUGGAGGGUGUUUAGUGACAAUAGUCAAUAAAUUAAUAUGUCAUUUAAAUUGUCAUUUAAAUAUUUUAAAAGCAAAUUAAUUGUUAUUUAAAUUGUUAUAUUGUUGUUUAAAUUACAAUUUAAAUUAUACCAAUAAUCAUUAAAAUUCUGUCAAAGUCACUCACCACACUCAGUGGGCAGACUUUAAACAAAACUUAAUCUAAAUGGUUACAUUGCAAACUAAGUCACAACAGAUCGAUCUUGCCUAGUCGAUUUAAUUCCCAUUUAUGACAGCAUUUGUCUGUUCUGUUAUGGUGCUGUAUAAUAUCCUAACUUCCCAAAAUCGUCAGUAAGCUCUCCUAGGAUAACAGAUAAGCUGUCCUAACUUUCACUGACCACCGCGUAGUGUGACAUAUAGUUAAACUUAUUUAAUCCGUAUGACUGCUCUUUUAUUGUUUUUGCACAACCAAUAAAAUACUAUUAAGUUUUUUAAUAAUC